GAAAUGCGAUAAGUAAUGUGAAUUGCAGAAUUCAGUGAAUCAUCGAAUCUUUGAACGCACAUUGCGCCCGCCAGUAUUCUGGCGGGCAUGCCUGUUCGAGCGUCAUUUCAACCAUCAAGCCCCCGGGCUUGUGUUGGGGACCUGCGGCUGCCGCAGGCCCCGAAAACCAGUGGCGUGCUCGCUGUCACACCGGGUGUAGUAGAUUUUUCGUCUCGCCCAGGGCGUGCUGCGGGUUCCGGCCGUUAAAAAGCCUCUCUUUUAACCCAAGGUUGACCUCGGAUCAGGUAGGAAGACCCGCUGAACUUAAGC
rnacentral:misc_RNA from 1 species